GGCCGAGCUGCCCGGCUGGCGGGGCGGGGGGAGGUUUCCUCUCAGGCGGCGGCGGGGCUGUGCGGUGGGGGUGGGCUACGAGGGGGCCUUUGCUGAGACUUCUGAAUCGCACGCACCCAGAGCCGUCAGGGCCUGUCCCCUCGGCGGCAGCAGGGCCUCGACUGCCACGGGAAGGCGCCCUGUCCUCGCCCGCCCGCCCCGCGGCCUGCACUCGCCUGCCCGCCUCGCCGUCUGCAGUGCCCGGGCUUUGCCGGUCUGGCAGGAAGAUAUAUGACGGGACUGAGAAUGGCUCUCAAAGAGAGGGAAAAAUUAGCUCUUGGGAGCAAACCUGAAAGUUGUUCUCUUCCACUUGUUGGAAAGGAAAACUGAAGAUCUUCUCAGAAUAUUUUGCAAGGUAUAUUCUUAAGAAGGUUGGGGGCUAUUUCCUGCAGAAAAUUGUUAGUGCUAAGUUGGGGCAUAACAAAGCUCAUGGUACAAGCAAUAUUUUGGUUUUGUUUGAAUAUUACAUUUCUGAAACUGUUUUUAUAAUACUGAACAUGCUGCAUAAUUUAAACUGGUAUCUCAGGG
rnacentral:lncRNA from 1 species